UGGCGGACGGGGUGAGUAACGCGUGAGGAACCUGCCUUUCAGAGGGGGACAACAGUUGGAAACGACUGCUAAUACCGCAUAACGUACGGGUAUCGCAUGGUACUGGUACCAAAGAUUUAUCGCUGAGAGAUGGCCUCGCGUCUGAUUAGCUAGUUGGUAGGGUAACGGCCUACCAAGGCGACGAUCAGUAGCCGGACUGAGAGGUUGGCCGGCCACAUUGGGACUGAGAUACGGCCCAGACUCCUACGGGAGGCAGCAG
rnacentral:rRNA from 1 species